GGGGGCGUAGCUCAGCUGGUUAGAGCGCCUGCCUGUCACGCAGGAGGUCGAGGGUUCGAGUCCCUUCGUCCCCGCCA
rnacentral:tRNA from 2 species